GAAGUAAUUUUGCUUUUCCAACAAAUAUAUUUCCAAAACUUGACACUGAUUUCUUCUUAACAUGAUGUUUUUGCAGAUUUUUACUACUACUGCGAUUCAGCAUCUUCUUUUUGUUGUGUUUGAUUUGGCCAAUGCAUGAAACUUUUGGUGAACUUGGUUCUGAUUUAUUUCUUCCGGAUUGAACAAUUCAACAUCUUCUUUUUGUUGUGUUUGAUUUGCCCAAUGCAUGAAACUUUUGGUGAACUUGGUUCUGAUUUAUUUCUUCCGGAUUUAUCUGCUGGGAUUACUGAUAUGAU
rnacentral:lncRNA from 1 species